AAAAAUAAUUGUAAAAUAAGAUUUAAAUCUAUUUAUUUAUUUUAUCUAAAAAUACAUCUAAAUAAUCAAUUGAAAUAAUUAGGGUAUUUUUGUCAUUUGUUAUUUUAGAUUGAAUCAUCUCCAUCCAAAUGAUCCAAUUUAGUUCAGUCAAAUGAGUUUCAAAAUUUAGCCUAAAUUUUCAAACUCAUCCAGAUGAUUCAUUUGGAUGGAUCAUCUGAAUGAACCGUUUUUGGCACCAAACGAACAUCAAAACUCAUCUCCAUCGAAAUGAUCCAUCUUACUGAUGAAACGAACAUGCCUACAAACU
rnacentral:sRNA from 1 species